rnacentral:rRNA from 2 species
UACGUAGGGACCGAGCGUUGUCCGGAAUCAUUGGGCGUAAAGAGCGUGUAGGCGGCCACUUAAGUCCUGCGUGAAAUCUUGCGGCUCAACCGCAAGCGGUCGUGGGAAACUGGGUGGCUAGAGUGCGGGAGAGGAGAGUGGAAUUCCUGGUGUAGCGGUGGAAUGCGCAGAUAUCAGGAAGAACACCCGUGGCGAAGGCGGCUCUCUGGAACGCAACUGACGCUGAGACGCGAAAGCGUGGGGAGCAAACAGG